rnacentral:rRNA from 1 species
GUGGGGAAUAUUGGGCAAUGGGGGAAACCCUGACCCAGCAACGCCGCGUGAAGGAAGAAGGCUUUCGGGUUGUAAACUUCUUUUAUGAGGGAAGAUAAUGACGGUACCUCAUGAAUAAGCCACGGCUAACUACGUGCCAGCAGCCGCGGUAAUACGUAGGUGGCAAGCGUUGUCCGGAUUUACUGGGUGUAAAGGGCGUGUAGGCGGGACUGCAAGUCAGAUGUGAAAUUUCGGGGCUCAACCCCGAAACUGCAUUUGAAACUGUGGUUCUUGAGUAUCGGAGAGGCAGGCGGAAUUCCUAGUGUAGCGGUGAAAUGCGUAGAUAUUAGGAGGAACACCAGUGGCGAAGGCGGCCUGCUGGACGACAACUGACGCUGAGGCGCGAAAGCGUGGGGAGCAAACAGGAUUAGAAACCCUUGUAGUCC